GAAGCGCACAUUCUCAAAACGGCGAGCCAAAUGCGCUGUUUACCCCGAAGGCCUGUGUUUGCCUAGAAAUUCACCCGAAACCCGGCAGCGUAUGCUGUGCUUGGCUGUCCGCCAGUAUGGCGACCGUGGCAGAAGAGCCCCCUGAAUGCUUUUCACACGAGGCUCGCCGUGAAAACGAACAGGUCCAACGCAGAGCGCAGGGUCGGAAAGACAAUACAGAUCCCUGGGGAGACGUGGAAUCUCUGCGUGAGCCUGGUCUACACGGUGGAACUAAGUCACCCUGGCACUGCUGUAGCACACUGACGUCAACGCAGGAGUGGUUACCAUGGAAACCGUUCCUGUGCUGGAGUUUGGAAGAAAGCCGGAGCCUGGCAGCAUUCAGUGAUCCCACAAGAAGACCUGCACAUGCUCAUCAGAACUGAGGAAAAGGUCGAAGGUCAGACUACAAUUUGAAACUCAGAAUCAUACUCCU